GUUAUGCCACAGUUCACCGAUCAGUGACGAUAACUAAUUUACAGACAGAGAGACACUUAAAUAAUACGAGAAGUAUGUCACGAAAACUAAACUUUAUUAAUCUGUGCCUGGUGUCGUUCUUAUGGAUGUGGCUAAUUGUUGGUGGAAUGGCUAUAGCAUUUACUCGUAGAGGCCAUCAUUAUCCGUGCGCAGAACAGAAUGGACAAUGCAUGACUACUUGCAGUUCUGAUUUAAAGAGAUAUUCCACUGACUGUGGUGAUCGGAAAUGGUGCUGUGUUUCGAUUUAGAUUGCUUAUCUAUGAAAUUGUAAUACCAUCAGCAAUAAAAAAUAAUAUAACAUAA